GGGGUUGUGGCUCAUCGGUGGAGUGCUCACCUUGCAGGUGUGAGACCCUGGGUUCAAUCCUCAGCACCA
rnacentral:tRNA from 1 species